AUUGAACGCUGGCGGCAGGCCUAACACAUGCAAGUCGAGCGGAUGAAGGGAGCUUGCUCCUGGAUUCAGCGGCGGACGGGUGAGUAAUGCCUAGGAAUCUGCCUGGUAGUGGGGGAUAACGUCCGGAAACGGGCGCUAAUACCGCAUACGUCCUGAGGGAGAAAGUGGGGGAUCUUCGGACCUCACGCUAUCAGAUGAGCCUAGGUCGGAUUAGCUAGCUGGUGGGGUAAAGGCCUACCAAGGCGACGAUCCGUAACUGGUCUGAGAGGAUGAUCAGUCACACUGGAACUGAGACACGGUCCAGACUCCUACGGGAGGCAGCAGUGGGGAAUAUUAGACAAUGGGCGAAAGCCUGAUCCAGCCAUGCCGCGUGUGUGAAGAAGGUCUUCGGAUUGUAAAGCACUUUAAGUUGGGAGGAAGGGCAGUAAGUUAAUACCUUGCUGUUUUGACGUUACCAACAGAAUAAGCACCGGCUAACUUCGUG
rnacentral:rRNA from 1 species